ensembl:snRNA U6 U6 spliceosomal RNA
GUGCUUGCUCCUGCAGCAUGUAUACUAAAACUGGAACCAUACAGAGAAGAUUGGCAUGGCCUCUGCACAAGGAUGACACACAAAUUCAUGAAGCGUUCCAUAUUUUA